rnacentral:rRNA from 1 species
UACGUAGGGGGCAAGCGUUGUUCGGAAUUACUGGGCGUAAAGGGCGCGUAGGCGGCAUGGCAAGUCGGGAGUGAAAGCCCGGGGCUCAACCCCGGAGGGUCUCUCGAAACUGCCGAGCUAGAGUGCGGAAGAGGCAAUCGGAAUUCCCAGUGUAGCGGUGAAAUGCGUAGAUAUUGGGAAGAACACCGGAGGCGAAGGCGGGUUGCUGGGCCGACACUGACGCUGAGGCGCGAAAGCUAGGGGAGCAAACGGG